AGUGAACGCUGGCGGUAGGCCUAACACAUGCAAGUCGAACGGCAGCACAGGAGAGCUUGCUCUCUGGGUGGCGAGUGGCGGACGGGUGAGGAAUACAUCGGAAUCUACUCUGUCGUGAGGGAUAACGUAGGGAAACUUACGCUAAUACCGCAUACGACCUACGGGUGAAAGCAGGGGACCUUCGGGCCUUGCGCGAUUGAAUGAGCCGAUGUCGGAUUAGCUAGUUGGCGGGGUAAAGGCCCACCAAGGCGACGAUCUGUAGCCGGUCUGAGAGGAUGAUCAACCACACUGGAACUGAGACACGGUCCAGACUCCUACGGGAGGCAGCAGUGGGGAAUAUUGGACAAUGGGCGCAAGCCUGAUCCAGCCAUACCGCGUGGGUGAAGAAGGCCUUCGGGUUGUAAAGCCCUUUUGUUGGGAAAGAAAUCCAGCUGGCUAAUACCCGGUUGGGAUGACGGUACCCAAAGAAUAAGCACCGGCUAACUUCGUGCCAGCAGCCGCCGUAA
rnacentral:rRNA from 1 species